rnacentral:rRNA from 1 species
CAGCAGCCGCGGUAAUACGAGGGGGGCAAGCGUUGUUCGGAAUUAUUGGGCGUAAAGGGCGCGUAGGCGGUUUGACAAGUCUUGUGUGAAAUCUCUGGGCUCAACCCAGAGUCUGCACGGGAAACUGUCGGGCUAGAGGAUGGGAGAGGAGAGUGGAAUUCCACGUGUAGCGGUGAAAUGCGUAGAGAUGUGGAGGAACACCAGUGGCGAAGGCGACUCUCUGGUCUGUAACUGACGCUGAGGAGCGAAAGCGUGGGGAGCGAACAGGAUUAGAUACCCCGGUAGUCCCUGUCUCUUAUAC